rnacentral:rRNA from 1 species
GAGUUUGAUCGUGGCUCAGAACGAACGCUGGCGGCAUGCCUAACACACGCAAGUCGAACGAGACCUUCGGGUCUAGUGGCGCACGGGUGCGUAACGCGUGGGAAUCUGCCCUUGGGUUCGGGAAUAACAGUGAGAAAUUACUGCUAAUACCGGAUGAUGUCUUCGGACCAAAGAUUUAUCGCCCAGGGAUGAGCCCGCGUAGGAUUAGCUAGUUGGUGGGGUAAUGGCCUACCAAGGCGACGAUCCUUAGCUGGUCUGAGAGGAUGAUCAGCCACACUGGGACUGAGACACGGCCCAGACUCCUACGGGAGGCAGCAGUGGGGAAUAUUGGACAAUGGGCGAAAGCCUGAUCCGGCAAUGCCGCGUGAGUGAUGAAGGCC